UACAGCCGGAAACUUCACCUGGUUACCCGACGUCGUCCGGACCACCGUCUUACCCACCGGCUCCUUCGGAGACGACCCCUAUAGAGCCGGAAACUUCACCUGGUUACCCGACGUCGUCGGGACCACCGUCUUACCCACCGGCUCCUACGGCGACGAGCCCUAUGGAGCCUGAAACUUCACCUGGUUUCCCGACG